UACGGGGGGGGCAAGCGUUGUUCGGAAUUACUGGGCGUGAAGGGCUCGUAGGCGGCCCACUAAGUCAGACGUGAAAUCCCUAGGCUCAACCUAGGAACUGCGUCUGAUACUGGAUGGCUUGAAUCCGGGAGAGGGAUGCAGAAUUCCAGGUGUAGCGGUGAAAUGCGUAGAUAUCAAGUAGAACACCAGUGGCGAAGGCGAGUCCCUGGAAAACUCCUGACACUGAGGCACGAAAGCUAGGGGAGCAAACAGG
rnacentral:rRNA from 1 species